UACAGAGGGGGCAAGCGUUGUUCGGAAUUACUGGGCGUAAAGGGCGCGUAGGCGGCUUUGUAAGUCGGGGGUGAAAGCCUGUGGCUCAACCACAGAAUUGCCUUCGAUACUGCAUGGCUUGAGACCGGAAGAGGUUAGUGGAACUGCGAGUGUAGAGGUGAAAUUCGUAGAUAUUCGCAAGAACACCAGUGGCGAAGGCGGCUGACUGGUCCGGUUCUGACGCUGAGGCGCGAAAGCGUGGGGAGCAAACAGG
rnacentral:rRNA from 1 species